AGUGAACGCUGGCGGUAGGCCUAACACAUGCAAGUCGAACGGCAGCACAGAGGAGCUUGCUCCUUGGGUGGCGAGUGGCGGACGGGUGAGGAAUACAUCGGAAUCUACUCUGUCGUGGGGGAUAACGUAGGGAAACUUACGCUAAUACCGCAUACGACCUACGGGUGAAAGCAGGGGACCUUCGGGCCUUGCGCGAUUGAAUGAGCCGAUGUCGGAUUAGCUAGUUGGCGGGGUAAAGGCCCACCAAGGCGACGAUCCGUAGCUGGUUUGAGAGAAUGAGCAGCCACGCUGGAAGUGAGACACAGUCCAGACUCCUACGGGAGGCAGCAGUGGGGGAUAUUGGACAAUGGGCGAAAGCCUGAUACAGCCAUACCGCGGGGGUGAAGAAGGCCUUCGGGUUGUAAAGCCCUUUUGUUGGGAAAGAAAUCCAGCUGGCUAAUACCCGGUUGGGAUGACGGUACCCAAAGAAUAAGCACCGGCUAACUUCGUGCCAGCCGCCGCAGUAA
rnacentral:rRNA from 1 species